rnacentral:rRNA from 1 species
GAUGAACGCUGGCGGCGUGCCUAAUACAUGCAAGUCGAACGCAUUGAGAGAAGUGCUUGCACUUUUCAAUUUGAGUGGCGAACGGGUGAGUAACACGUGGGCAACCUACCUGAUAGCGGGGGAUAACGAGUGGAAACAUUCGCUAAUACCGCAUAACAAUAGAGAAGGCAUCUUCUUUAUUUAAAAGGCGCUUUCAAGCGUCACUAUCAGAUGGGCCCGCGGUGCAUGAGUUAGUUGGUGGGGUGAAGGCCUACCAAGACGAUGAUGCAUAGCCGAGUUGAGAGACUGAUCGGCCACAUUGGGACUGAGACACGGCCCAAACUCCUACGGGAGGCUGCAGUAGGGAAUCUUCCACAAUGGACGAAAGUCUGAUGGAGCAUCGUCGCGUGUGUGAUGAAGGCUUUCGGGUCGUAAAGCACUGUUGUAUGGGAAGAAAUGCUAGGCUAGGAAAUGAGCUUAGUUUGACGGUACCAUACCAGAAAGGGACGGCUAAAUACGUGCCAGCAGCCGCGGUAA